CUGCCCUAAAUUGUGGGCAACGGAACGGUUCAAGUAUACACAUGAGUGACAUUCACUUGAGAAAAGGGAAGUAACACACUCACACGCAAGUGGGAGGAGUGGAGAAGGAGGACGAGGGACUGCAGAGCUGAAUCCCUCAAUAGGCAAUAGAGCUCAUCUUGUGUAAAAGGCGCUGGAAGCAUGAUAGAACACAAGGGCGGGUGUUCCACUACCCACAAAUGUCCCCAGACUUGGUCAGCUACAAACAUGACAUUUGCCCAUGUUUUUCUCUCCAGGUUUUUGAGCUACCAUCAGAUGUGGAACGCACAUGGUCCCCAUCAAACCUUUGGAUAACUACAGGUGCCACAGCAGGACUUUGGACAGAAAGAAAAAGAAAGGAAGACUGCUUCAUUCUGCACUCAAAGUCCAUCAGUUUUCCGUCUUUAGGUGGGAGGCAAUUUUCAACGUGGGUCCUUUGGAAUUGUCUCGGAUCAUCUGAUAAAAGCACUACAGAACCGAAGCAAACUUAGAGCUGUGUCCAAAUCUCAAAAGUCUCAAACAUCGUAUCAGAUAAAAUAAUAAAUAAAUGUCCUGAAACUAUCAAUAUAGCCCUAAUGAAAUCAAAUAUACUUAACAAAAUAGGAGCUUUCGGACAACUCUUUAACAACCGAGUUUCUAACCAUAUCUAGAUUGCAAGUCUUUUUCCCUCCUAAGAGUAAUGGCAUUCAUUACUAAGUUUCACAGUAGAAGCGUGCACUUAUAGCAAAGGUGUAUGGGGUGGACCAGCACUCCAGCUGAGGACUUGCUGAGUUCUUUUCAAGGCUGCUCCUCUAGCUCUGUCUACCUGCCACAUAACUUUCACCUGUGAGUCCCAGAAGCUAUGGUACCUGCAUCGGCCAAAGGCCAGUAAAUCAGCUCUGAAGAGAGGCUAAAUAAACCAAAGUAAGGGUAACUGAAGGGCCUCAAGCCUGUCGGUGAGUUGGGGGAGGGGUGUCUAGCCCACGCACACGAAGACAGCUGCAGAGGCCCCUUAGAUCUUGGUCAGACAUCAGAUCUGCCAGGGUCAUCCACUGCAUCCCAGCCAUGACCUGCCGGGCAUCUUGACUUGUGUCCUGCAACUGACUUUGAAGACUCAGGAAGAGAGAGAGGCUGGCAACUUUGUGCACAUCUGUCCGACUGAAAUCUAAUUCACUUCCGAGCCAUCACCCCAUGAUUGGUCCGCUUCAAAAAUAAGAGACGAAAAACAAGAUGAACAGCGUUAGGGAGCGCUACGAAGCUUUGCCAGUUUAGGCCCCAACUGCAAUGACUGCGUGAACUCGGGUGGGUUGGGCCAGUAUUAAGAGCCAUUGUUGUUAAGUUUCUGAUUCGGAUCCUAGGUUGAGGAUCGGUUGGGUCGGGCAGAGAGCUCUGUGCGAUUGGGUCCGAGGCUGGCAGGGGCCGCGGAGACAACGCGCGCCGCGGCUGUUCUACACCGGCUACGCUAGAGACACCUGGCGAGCCCAGCAGCGCGCAGCGCCUGACGACGAGACGAGGGAGGCCCCGCGCGAAGGGCUCUCAGCCGGGACCCCCGACGCGCCCCGACCACAUCAGAGCAGGCAGUUUAAGGCUUUGUAAGCACUGGGGUCUCCGCGGCGCCUCGGACCGAGCUUGGGGCCGGACCCUGAGGCCUCGAGCUGCCGGUGCUCCGAGAGCCGCGCGGGCCGCCUUCGGGAGCGCAAUGACCUCAAGCUGCGCGCGGGGCCGGCUUUCACAGGCGCUUCUCAGAGCCCAACUGCCCCGAAAGGCGCAUCUCGUUUGUGUCCUCGGGGAUUCCUGGACGCCGUCUUUUAGCCCAAGAGUCACACGAAAAAGGCGGAUACUUUUGCUAAGCACAUUUCUAGCCGGAUUAAGGGAAGCGCCGCCUCCAUGCGAAUUACAGAGAAACCGAGAUCGCGCAAUUACAGAUUUCCCGUUGCAGCCCCGGCCAGGAGUCAAUUUCUCAUCCACAGUUGCAGAGCCCCAGCAUCCGAUCUCUUGGCGCCCUCUGGUGGCCAUCUUGGGAAAAGCCACAGAAGUGACCCACUCCCAGCCCCAGCCCCUGCUCAGGAAACUCCAGGGUUCCCUGUUACUGUCCUCAAGGAGCUCCUUUCUCACUGCCAGGCUCUCUUCCAUCCGCCCUGGCUUCUGACCAUUUCUCCAGCAAAACUCUCCCUCUCUGGCUGCUCCAGGCCCGGGACACUCUCUCUCCUCAUCUCAAUCUGGUGGUCUCCUGGCUUAAAUUCCUGCCUUCCUCAGGAAGCCUUUCCCAAGCCCGGUUCGUUUUAGGGCCUUUCCCCCAUUACUUCCCGCCCCUAACUGUCUGCAUGGGGGCGCCCUCGUGAAACAGGGCGCUCCUUGUCCUUUGCCUAGAGCCUGGCACAUAGUAGGUCUUACUAAAUUCUAGGUUACCUAAUGGACCCCCUCCCAGUACGAGUUACCUUUAAGAGCCAACUCACAACCCAGGAGGAAAUCCUAUGACUUUUCUGGUGGGAUUUUCCGAGAACCUGCUGUCUGGCGGCCCUCCCGCUCUGUCCUCCUUAUUUAUAGCCACCCUUCCUGUGGGUGCUGCUCAGCCGUUCUACUCCCCCCAGGUCCUUUCCAACACACAUCCUUGUCCUUCAGGUGCUUUCUUCUGCUUCUUCCCCUGCCCGCCUCGGCUGCCAACCCUUCCAGCUGCCUCUUGGAUUGAGUUGCUUCUCCUUUAUGGGCUCCUUCCUUCCCAACUCACAUCCCCACCCCUUAAAGAAAAGCAGCACUUUCUACACUAGCAAGCAAAUGCUAACAAAGUUAACAUCUUCCCAUGAAUUAGCAAAUGAUUAAAUUAGCUACAGGCCAGAAAUAUUUUUUUUUAUUUUUAUUUUUUUUAAUUUUUUUUAUUUAAUAGCCUUUUAUUUACAGGAUAUAUACAUGGGUAACUUUACAGCAUUAACAAUUGCCAAACCUCUUGUUCCAAUUUUUCACCUCUUACCCCUCCACCCCCUCCCCUAAAUGGCAGGAUGACCAGUAGAUGUUAAAUAUAUUAAAAUAUAACUUAGAUACACAAUAAGUAUACAUGACCAAAACAUUAUUUUGCUGUACAAAAAGAAUCAGACUCUGAAUUAUUGUACAAUUAGCUUGUGAAGGAAAUCAAAGAUGCAGGUGUGCAUAAAUAUAGGGAUUGGGAAUUCAAUGUAAGGGUUUUUAGUCAUCUCCCAGAGUUCUUUUUCUGGGUAUAGCUAGUUCAGUUCAUUACUGCUCCAUUAGAAAUGAUUUGGUUGAUCUUGUUGCUGAGGAUGGCCUGAUCCAUCAGGACUAGUCAUCAUCUAGUAUUGUUGUUGAAGUAUAUAAUGAUCUCCUGGUCCUGCUCAUUUCACUCAGCAUCAGUUCGUGUAAGUCUCUCCAGGCCUUUCUGAAAUCAUCCUGUUGGUCAUUUCUUACAGAACAGUAAUAUUCCAUAAUUUUCAUAUACCACAAUUUAUUCAGCCAUUCUCCAACUGAUGGACAUCCAUUCAGUUUCCAGUUUCUAGCCACUACAAAAAGGGCUGCCACAAACAUUCGUGCACAUACAGGUCCCUUUCCCUUCUUUAUAAUCUCUUUGGGAUAUAAUCCCAGUAGUAACACUGUACAGGCCAGAAAUAUAAUGGAAUAUUUUACUGUGCUCUAAGGGUGCCAUAAAUAUAAUGAACUCAAACUGGGGAAUACUAAUAAAUAUGUAACAACUGGGGAAGGGGGAGGGAUUUUGCCUACCAUAUACUUGUAAUGUAUCAACACUUUCUUAAUAGUCAAUAGCCAAUAGCACUUCCUAUGUGCCUAGCUGCUAAGCCCUGGGAUACAAACAGUUCCUGCCCUCAAAAAGGCUACAAUCUAAUAGUAGAAAUAUGUAACAAAGUAAAUGGGAAGAAUACCACAAAUCUAAAUGACCAGGCUUGGUCCUAAAGAAGAGUCAAGGGAAGUAAUUAAAGAAAUGCAACUUAGGUUGCCCUAGAACUCAUCCUAUUCCCUUUUUUUCUUUCCACCAGCUUCCCCAAUAUUACACAUGCCUUCACCCCUCCCCCCAGAAGUGGGGACCACAGAGCCCAGUAGACCCCACCAGCCCCAUUCUAUGGUUAUAAAAAAAAUGGUGAAAGAAAUGACUUAAAAUAAUAUUUGGGGCAUGAAACCUAAUGCCUCCCAGGAAGAACUAAAAAAGGCAAAGAGGAAACUAACCUUGAAAUACCAUCUAGAUAAGUAUCUAAAUGAAGGAGAAAAAUUGAAAUACUAUCUUAAACUUACAAAGUGCUUUGUGAUGAGAAGAAAAGAGACUAAUGGGACACAGGUGGAAAACAAGCCAUCAGACUGUAAUUCCAGCUGUGGUUUUGGUUCUCCCAUGUUUUUUAGAGAAUAAAGAAAAACAGAGAAAAUGAGGCCAAAAGGUUGCCCAUCCACUGUAGAUGAGUUUAAAAGAGUUCUCUUUAAUGGUGCAACAAGAAAACUGACUUUGCAAAAGAAUGUCAUUUGUGAAUGACUUUGUGUAGUUCGGAUGUUCCAGGUGCUAGGAUGCAAAAAAGAAUUCUCAGGUAGGAUCUGGAAUGCUUCACUAAUUCAACCAGUUAGGGUGGAAUGCUAAGGGCAAGGGGAAAGAAUCCACCUUAAAGAUAGAUGUAGAAGCUGUGACAGAAGUACAUUCUAUAAAUAUAUAUUUAUGUGUGUAUUAUAUACCACUAUACAUGAUAAUAUACAUAUGAAUAUAUAUAAUAUACCUAUAUAUAUGACUCAGCUCUUCUCAGCAACACAAUGAUCCAAGUCAAAAACAAAGGAUUCAUGAUGGAAAAUUCAAUCCAUAACGAGAUAAAGAACUGAUGAAUUUGGAAUUCACAUCAAAGCAUAUUUUUUUCAUUCGCUUUAUUUUUCCUUGUUGUUUUUUUUUUUUUCUUUUCAUUUGUUUCUUCUUUCACAACUGUAGAGGUCGGAACUGUGGAGAAGUAUACUUGAAACAAGGUGUUAACUCAGUGGAAUUGAUGAGAUGAUGAUUCUCUAGUUCCCACAUAUACUUAAUAUGGUGAUGUAACGGUUCUCUAAGUUCACACAUAAUCAGUAUGCUGUAAUGAUAUAAUUACAAUAAGGUAUAUAAGGGCCAACAAGGACUGGAAGAGAGACUAUCCUCGUAAUGGCUCUCCUGCCUCCUGCACUGUAGGGGAGACUGGUUCAGACUGGGAGACUGAAAGAAACAAUAAAGACUUUGGACUUUAUUCCUGACUAUUCUCAUGGUGAUUAUUCUGCUGACCAAGGUUGGUCCCAAGGCCCUCCAGAAAGCUAGUCCGGACAUUACACACAAUGGUCAUUAAUAUGGAAAUAUGAUUUACAUGAUAAUACAUGUAUAAACUACAUCAAAUUAUCUAUCAUGUUCAAAAAAAGGGGAAAGGAGAAAGGGAGAGAGAAACAUUUGGAACUCAAAACCUUGUGAAAAUAAAUACUAAAAUAUUUUUUGACAUGUAACUAGGGGGAAAAUACUGUUUUUUUUAAAAAAGCCAGGGCAGCUAGAUGGCAUAGUGGAUAGAGUACCAGUCAGGAGGACCUGAGUUCAAAUUUGGCCUCAGAUAUUUAACACUUCCUAGCUGUGUGACCCUGGGCAAGUCACUUAACCCCAAUUGUCUCAGCAAAAAAAAAAAAAAAAAAAAAAAAAAAAAAAAAAAAAAAAAAAAAAAAAAAAAAAAGCCAUAACAGAAAAAAAUUACGGGAGAUAAAAAGAUUCUGGAAGUUCAUAUUGACAAGGGCAUGAAAGAUAAGAUGAUUAAAUUUCAUGGUGAAAGGGACCAGGAGCCAGGAGAUACUAUCGUUAUUUUUUUUUUUAUCAGAAGCACAAUGCUGUCUUUAAAGGACAAGAUGUGUGCAUGGAUACCUACUUGGUUAAAAUAUUGUGUAGCUCACCUGUCAGAUUGGCUAAGAUGACAGGAAAAAAUAAUGAUGAUUGUUGGAGGGAAUGCGGGAAAACUGGGUCAUUGAUGCAUUGUUGGUGGAGUUGUGAACGAAUCCAACCAUUUUGAAGAGUAGUUUGGAACUAUGCUCAAAAAGUUAUCAAACUGUGCAUCCCCUUUGAUCCAGCAGUGUUACUACUGGGCUUAUAUCCCAAAGAGAUCAUAAAGAAGGGAAAGGGACCUGUAUGUGCACGAAUGUUUGUGGCAGCCCUUUUUGUAGUGGCUAAAAACUGGAAACUGAAUGGAUGUCCAUCAGUUGGAGAAUGGCUGAAUAAAUUGUGGUAUAUGAAUAUUAUGGAAUAUUACUGUUCUGUAAGAAAUGACCAACAGGAUGAUUUCAGAAAGGCCUGGAGAGACUUACACAAACUGAUGCUGAGUGAAAUGAGCAGGACCAGGAGAUCAUUAUAUACUUCAACAACAAUACUAUAUGAUGACCAGUUCUGAUGGACCAGGCCAUCCUCAGCAACGAGAUCGACCAAAUCAUUUCCAAUGGAGCAGUAAUGAACUGAACCAGCUACGCCCAGAAAAAGACCUCUGGGAGAUGACUAAAAACCAUUACAUUGAAUUCCCAAUCCCUAGAUUUAUGCCCACCUGCAUUUUUGAUUUCCUUCACAAGCUAAUUGUACAAUAUUUCAGAGUCUGAUUCUUUUUGUACAGCAAAAUAACGUUUUGGUCAUGUAUACUUAUUGUGUAUCUAAUUUAUAUUUUAAUAUAUUUAACAGCUACUGGUCAUCCUGCCAUCUAGGGGAGGGGGUGGAGGGGUAAGAGGUAAAAAAUUGGAACAAGAGGUUUGGCAAUUGUUAAUGCUGUAAAGUUACCCAUGCAUAUAUCCUGUAAAUAAAAGGCUAUUAAAUAAAAAUAAAAAAAAAUAUUGUGUAGCUUUCAGAAACCUUACCAGUUCUUGACAGUAGAACCAUAGUCAUUACUUGUCAUCAAAGAUGGAGAUAUCAAUUGUGGCUAAAUGAAGACAAGCCAGUUUAUUACCAACCUUAGAAGAAAGGGAUUCUAAUCAUCAAAUAAACUUCCAAGAGAAUGGCUUUCUUUCAUCAGAUAAGCCAUUUUUGUUGGAAAAGUUACUGCCCGGAAGAAGGGAAAUAGAGAAGACUGAAAAACAGAUCAAGUUGAACUGGUAGACUUUGACCCAUCCCAAGAAGAAGCUUCUGUUUACAAUGGAGAAGUUUGGGAAGAGGAUGAUAGUGAUAGUGAUACAAAAGCAGUGAUAAAUGAGUGAAAAAGACAACCAUUUUAAUACAUUCUGCUAGCUAUUGUGUUGUUGUAUUCAAUAACACUUGCUUUUUUAAAAUUAACUAAUAAAAUCAUUUAAUAUAUAAAAUGCUGACUUUCCAGUUUAUGAUAUUCAGUGCAAGAGAGUUCCACAUCAUUAAUUGUGUCCUUGUGGUAAAGCAGCUCCCAAACACUGUUUUCAGGAUCUGUGUAUGUGCAGUGGUUUAAUUCUUGAUUGACUAAAAGUGUACAAGCAUUUAUAAUUGUUAAGCAUUGAAAUAAAUUUUUAUACUGAAUUCAUCAUUAAAAAAAAAGAAAUGGCAGCUAGAGCAACUCUGACACUCUAUGUCACACCCAUCAACUUGACAAAGAUGAUGUAAGAGGACAAUUCUCCUUACUGAAGAAACUUAGGGCAUACAGAAUCAUUCUCAAUGAAGUUGUGACCGUCAUUCUGGCAAAAUGACUUGGGACUCCCAAAGAGAGUCUAUUCCCUCCCCUUAAAUCGUCACACUCUUUCUCUUACAAAACAAACCAUCUCCCAAUUCUAGGCAUCUGCACGGAACUCCUGCAUGGAAGGCUCUCCCUACUCAGCACAAAAAAGUUGGGAACAAAAAGUUCUUGUGCUCCCUUCAAAUCCCAGCUAAAAUCUUACCUUUGAUAGGAAGCUGCUCAUAAGCCCCGUUAAUUCUAGCCCCUUCUCUCUGCUCUUUCUUAUUUCUCUUGUGAAUAGUGGGUUUGUACAUAGUUGUCUAUGCAUUGUCUCCCCCGUUAGAUUGUGAGCUUCCUGUAAACUCUUUUUUGUAUCCUUAGAACUUAGCACACAGUCUGGCAGCUAAUAGGUGCUUAAUAAAUGUUUACUCGCUGACUGGCCACUAGCUGUGAGGAUCUCACAGGCCUGGAUGAUCUAGUGA
ensembl:lncRNA